GGGGAAUUAGCUCAAGCGGUAGCGUGCUUGCUUUGCAUGCAAGAGGUAGUGGGGUCAAUGCUCACGUUCUCCA
rnacentral:tRNA from 1 species